UUNUGAACUGGGUAGCUAGAGUAUNUCAGAGGGGGGUAGAAUUCCACGUGUAGCAGUGAAAUGCGUAGAGAUGUGGAGGAAUACCGAUGGCGAAGGCAGCCCCCUGGGAUAAUACUGACGUUCAUGCUCGAAAGCGUGGGUAGCAAACAGGAUUAGAUACCCUGGUAGUCCACGCCCUAAACGAUGUCGAUUAGCUGUUGGGCAGCUUGACUGCUUAGUAGCGUAGCUAACGCGUGAAAUCGACCGCCUGGGGAGUACGGUCGCAAGAUUAAAACUCAUAGGAAUUGACGGGGACCCGCACAAGCGGUGGAUGAUGUGGAUUAAUUCGAUGCAACGCGAAGAACCUUACCUGGUCUUGACAUGUACGGAAGAACUCAGAGACGAGUUUGUGCCUUCGGGAGCCGUAACACAGGUGCUGCAUGGCUGUCGUCAGCUCGUGUCGUGAGAUGUUGGGUUAAGUCCCGCAACGAGCGCAACCCUUGUCAUUAGUUGCCAUCAUUUAGUUGGGCACUCUAAUGAGACUGCCGGUGACAAACCGGAGGAAGGUGGGGAUGACGUCAAGUCCUCAUGGCCCUUAUGACCAGGGCUUCACACGUCAUACAAUGGUCGGUACAGAGGGUAGCCAAGCCGCGAGGUGGAGCCAAUCCCAGAAAACCGAUCGUAGUCCGGAUUGCACUCUGCAACUCGAGUGCAUGAAGUCGGAAUCGCUAGUAAUCGCAGGUCAGCAUACUGCGGUGAAUACGUUCCCGGGUCUUGUACACACCGCCCGUCACACCAUGGGAGUGGGGGAUACCAGAAGUAGGUAGG
rnacentral:rRNA from 1 species